GAUGAACGCUGGCGGCGUGCCUAAUACAUGCAAGUCGAGCGAAAGGGCGCGAAGCUUGCUUCUCUGAUGUUAGCGGAGGAGGGGAGUGUCACACGUGGAUAACGUACCUAUCUGAGUGGGAUCACUUCGGGACACCGUCGCAUACAGCGGAGGAUAUUUUGCACCGUAGGGUUGAAAGGUGAGAGUCGGUCUUUCUGGCUGUUAUCGCGGGUUACGCGCUGCAUUAGCUAGUUGGUAAGGUAACGGCUUACCAAGGCUACGAUGCAUAGCCGACCUGAGAGGGUGAUCGGCCACACUGGAACUGAGACACGGUCCAGACGCCUGCGGGAGGCAGCAGUAGGGAAUCUUCCGCAAUGGGCGAAAGCCUGACAGAGCAACGCCGCGUGAGUGAUGAAGGUCCUCGGAUCGUAAAACUCUGUUAGUAGGGAAGAACAUAUGUGUAAGUAACUGUGCACAUCUUGACGGUACCUAAUCAGAAAGCCACGGCUAACUACGUG
rnacentral:rRNA from 1 species